rnacentral:tRNA from 1 species
GUCCUAGUGGUCCAACGGUAAAGCGCUCGUCGCGGAGCUAGAGGGUCCUGGGUUCGACCCCCAGCGGGAUCG